GAUUCGUCACACUAUCAUUAACUGAAUCCAUAGGUUAAUGAGGCGAACCGGGGGAACUGAAACAUCUAAGUACCCCGAGGAAAAGAAAUCAACCGAGAUUCCCCCAGUAGCGGCGAGCGAACGGGGAGGAGCCCAGAGCCUGAAUCAGCAUGUGUGUUAGUGGAAGCGUCUGGAAAGGCGCGCGAUACAGGGUGACAGCCCCGUACACAAAAGCGCAUGUGCUGUGAGCUCGAUGAGUAGGGCGGGACACGUGGUAUCCUGUCUGAAUAUGGGGGGACCAUCCUCCAAGGCUAAAUACUCCUGACUGACCGAUAGUGAACCAGUACCGUGAGGGAAAGGCGAAAAGAACCCCGGCGAGGGGAGUGAAAAAGAACCUGAAACCGUGUACGUACAAGCAGUGGGAGCACCCUUCGGGGUGUGACUGCGUACCUUUUGUAUAAUGGGUCAGCGACUUAUAUUCUGUAGCAAGGUUAACCGUAUAGGGGAGCCGGAGGGAAACCGAGUCUUAAUUGGGCGUUAAGUUGCAGGGUAUAGACCCGAAACCCGGUGAUCUAGCCAUGGGCAGGUUGAAGGUUGGGUAACACUAACUGGAGGACCGAACCGACUAAUGUUGAAAAAUUAGCGGAUGACCUGUGGCUGGGGGUGAAAGGCCAAUCAAACCGGGAGAUAGCUGGUUCUCCCCGAAAGCUAUUUAGGUAGCGCCUCGUGAAUUCAUCUCCGGGGGUAGAGCACUGUUUCGGCUAGGGGGCCAUCCCGGCUUACCAACCCGAUGCAAACUGCGAAUACCGGAGAAUGUUAUCACGGGAGACACACGGCGGGUGCUAACGUCCGUCGUGAAGAGGGAAACAACCCAGACCGCCAGCUAAGGUCCCAAAGUCAUGGUUAAGUGGGAAACGAUGUGGGAAGGCCCAGACAGCCAGGAUGUUGGCUUAGAAGCAGCCAUCAUUUAAAGAAAGCGUAAUAGCUCACUGGUCGAGUCGGCCUGCGCGGAAGAUGUAACGGGGCUAAACCAUGCACCGAAGCUGCGGCAGCGAACGUAUCACCCAAGACAACUUUACGGAGUUGACGAUUGACGGAGCGAAGCGACGUCAAAGCGUUCAUUAAAGUCGAGUUGGCUUAGGGAUACGUUCGUUGGGUAGGGGAGCGUUCUGUAAGCCUGUGAAGGUGUGUCGUGAGGCAUGCUGGAGGUAUCAGAAGUGCGAAUGCUGACAUAAGUAACGAUAAAGCGGGUGAAAAGCCCGCUCGCCGGAAGACCAAGGGUUCCUGUCCAACGUUAAUCGGGGCAGGGUGAGUCGACCCCUAAGGCGAGGCCGAAAGGCGUAGUCGAUGGGAAACGGGUUAAUAUUCCCGUACUUGGUGUUACUGCGAAGGGGGGACGGAGAAGGCUAUGUUGGCCGGGCGACGGUUGUCCCGGUUUAAGCGUGUAGGUGUGUGUUCCAGGUAAAUCCGGUUCACUUUAACACUGAGGCGUGACGACGAGGCACUACGGUGCUGAAGCAACAAAUGCCCUGCUUCCAGGAAAA
rnacentral:rRNA from 4 species